CCACUGCCCAGAUAACCCCAAUGCCGCCUUUCAUCUUCUGUCCUCCGACCAAAUCUGAUCGAAAGCAUGACCACCAUCAAAAAAAGACCCAACGAACCACCACAAUGCCUCCGUCCCCUUAUUUAUCCCUCUUUUCCGCCGGCGAACACCAUCAUUCGAUGAAAUCCAUCACUGCUCCAGUCAGAUUUGGACGGAACAAGCCAAGCUCCGGGAGAGACACCGUGUCAGAUCUGACACCGACCACAAGUUGGUCGGAUGUUUGAACUCUUGAACUUCUAUAUCAUUUUUCGUUUGACUUAUGAAUUUGUUACCUAUUUUACUUGAUUUAGUUCCAAUAUUUCUUGAUGUGAGCUUCUCGUGGAUUUUCAAAUAUUAUCUUGUCAGUAUUUGUAUCAUCAUCACUUGCUAUUAAUGUUAGUUUGAUUGUUUUUAGUUAUUAUUGUUGAUAUUGUUAUUUGCUAACAGUUUUCUUCACUGUCAUGUUUGGACAAAUUUUUACAUUAUUUUAGUUGAUCUUGUGUUAUGUUUUAUUUUGUUUGAG
rnacentral:lncRNA from 1 species